rnacentral:rRNA from 1 species
GACGAACGCUGGCGGCGUGCCUAAUACAUGCAAGUUGAGCGAUGAAGAUUGGUGCUUGCACCAAUUUGAAGAGCAGCGAACGGGUGAGUAACGCGUGGGGAAUCUGCCUUUGAGCGGGGGACAACAUUUGGAAACGAAUGCUAAUACCGCAUAACAACUUUAAACAUAAGUUUUAAGUUUGAAAGAUGCAAUUGCAUCACUCAAAGAUGAUCCCGCGUUGUAUUAGCUAGUUGGUGAGGUAAAGGCUCACCAAGGCGAUGAUACAUAGCCGACCUGAGAGGGUGAACGGCCACAUUGGGACUGAGACACGGCCCAAACUCCUACGGGAGGCAGCAGUAGGGAAUCUUCGGCAAUGGACGAAAGUCUGGCCGAGCAACGCCGCGUGAGUGAAGAAGGUUUUCGGAUCGUAAAACUCUGUUGGUAGAGAAGAACGUUGGUGAGAGUGGAAAGCUCAUCAAGUGACGGUAACUACCCAGAAAGGGACGGCUAACUACGUG